GGUUGUCAUUCAAAGUCAUGGGACUGGCUUCUUUGCAUGUCAAGUCCUUCUGCCCCCAAAGAUGGACUGAGUCUCCAUCUGGUCCAGAUGCAGAAACAAUGAGGAAAUGUGUUUGUGAAUACUUUCCAAGAAGAAAGUAAUUCUAUUCUGCCCAGCAGCCCACCUCCUGCCACCCCAAGGACCAGUCAAGUCACGGACCCUAGACUUCCUUCUCAGAAGACUGACAGCGACCACUGAUUAAGCAUGUGGACUACACCUUGAGUUGGUGCUUUCCUGUACAUGAGUCUAUGAGGUCUGGGGCACCAAGACGCACUGCUCACCAGCUGCCUCAUCCUCUUGCUGCUGCGCCUUCUCCGUCAUGCUGGACCCUCAAACCAUGGCCGUAAACAAGCCACUCCUCCCUUAACUGGCUUUUGUCAGAUGUUUGGGUGCAGCCAUGAGAUAAAAACUAAUGCUGCCCCGAAGCAAUUAUGACAAGCAAUGAAGGUGGAGAACAGGAUGCACCCGACUCAUGCGCCUUGUUCCAGUCACCCGACUUCCACAGGCCUGCCACUCAGGUGGUGGGUUACCUGAUGACGAAGCUGUGCGUGUCAAUCUCCUGCCCACAGCCGCUGUUCAGUAAGACACCCGAGUUGCCCACGAUGGCACAAGUCUGGAAAUGCUUGUUCUUCAGGGGGGAGGUUCUGG